GGAGGUAUGAAAGUAAAUGCGGGGCAAGGGCUUGCGACAUACGGAAGGCCCGAUCAAGGUGGCUACUUCCUCCAUACCUGAAAUUUUUUACGUUUAGGACAUAAUUAUAGUAAUCAAGGAGUGAUUAAUUAGAGAGUAUUUUUUUUCCUUUGCUCUUACUAAAUAGGUCUACGGGUGCAUUAUUUUCAAGAAAGCUUCGUAGUUCAGAUGGAUAGUGUGUGGCGAUGUUAACUAGAAGUCUUCAAUUCAAAGCCUUAUUAUAGGCAACCUUUUUUAUCCGGCCCUUUGAUUUUUGCAUGAGGUGGCGCUUUGAUUUCUGCAUGGGGCUCUAGGCGACUGCGGUUAAUAUGGGAGGUAAUUCCGGCGCUUCGAUUGCUGCGAUUAAUAUGGAGGGAUAAACAUGUCU
rnacentral:lncRNA from 1 species